rnacentral:rRNA from 1 species
GUACAAGUCUCUUGGAACAAAGCGUCAUAGAGGGUGAGAAUCCCGUCUUUGACACGGACUACCAGUGCUCUGUGAUGCGCUCUCAAAGAGUCGAGUUGUUUGGGAAUGCAGCUCAAAAUGGGUGGUAAAUUCCAUCUAAAGCUAAAUAUUGGCGAGAGACCGAUAGCGAACAAGUACCGUGAGGGAAAGAUGAAAAGCACUUUGGAAAGAGAGUUAAACAGUACGUGAAAUUGCUGAAAGGGAAACGAUUGAAGUCAGUCGCGUUAGCCAGGACUCAGCCUUGUUUUUACUUGGUGCAUUUUCUGGUUGACGGGCCAGCAUCGAUUUUGAUCGCCGGAAAAAGGUUGGGGGAAUGUGGCACCUUCGGGUGUGUUAUAGCCCUCAAUCACAUACGGUGAUUGGGAUCGAGGACCGCAGCACGCCUUUAUGGCCGGGGUUCGCCCACGUUCGUGCUUAGGAUGCUGGCGUAAUGGCUUUAAACGACCCGUCUUGAAACACGGACCAAGGAGUCUAACAUGCCUGCGAGUGUUUGGGUGGAAAACCCGAGCGCGUAAUGAAAGUGAAAGUUGAGAUCCCUGUCGCGGGGAGCAUCGACGCCCGGACUUGAACUUCGGUGAUAGAUCUGCGGUAGAGCAUGUAUGUUGGGACCCGAAAGAUGGUGAACUAUGCCUGAAUAGGGUGAAGCCAGAGGAAACUCUGGUGGAGGCUCGUAGCGAUUGUGACGUGCAAAUCGAUCGUCAAAUUUGGGUAUAGGGGCGAAAGACUAAUCGAACCAUC